GGGAACAGGCUUGUCAUAACUGAUCAUGACCAAUCACCAUCCAUCAUCACCUGCAGCUGCACUCAUGGCUGCUCAAAACAAAAUCCAGGUUUGGUUGUGAUGAGCUGGGCAUUUCUUCUUGCACUCCUCUGACACUGUGUUGACCUAUCUCAAAUCACCAGCCACUCUGCAUUCAUUGCUGUGGUUUGCCUCUUCACCUCUGCCACUGUACUAGAAGAGUUUGGAAAUUUCUCUUUGGGAGAAGUCACCAAGUUACAUCCAGCACAUGGACUGGUUCUUUUACUCAUC
rnacentral:lncRNA from 1 species